GAUGAAGAACGUAGCAAAAUGCGAUAAGUAGUGUGAAUUGUAGAAUUCAGUGAAUCAUCGAAUCUUUGAACGCACAUUGCGCCCCUUGGUAUUCCAUGGGGCAUGCCUGUUCGAGCGUCAUUGACACCCUCAAGCUCUGCUUGGUGUUGGGCCGUUGUCGUUUCCUCGCCCCCCCCGGCGACACAGCGACACCCCUCAAAGUCAUUGGCGGCUUUCCUGCCCAGCUUUCCCGCGCAGCAGUUCGCGCUUCGGAGACCACUUGGCAGGUUGGCAUCCAUCAAGCUGACCCCUCACGCUUGACCUCGGAUCAGGUAGGGACUACCCGCUGAACUUAAGCAUAUCAAUAAGCGGAGGAA
rnacentral:misc_RNA from 1 species